ACCCCGGCGUGGGUCACGCCGGGGGAGGGCGCGUCGUCCCGGGCGGCGGCGCGCACCUCGGCGCGUACGCUCCCGUCGGAGCCGGGGGCCAGGGUG
rnacentral:tRNA from 5 species